rnacentral:rRNA from 1 species
AUGCAGUCGAACGGCAGCGCGGGAGCAAUCCUGGCGGCGAGUGGCGAACGGGUGAGUAAUACAUCGGAACGUGCCCAAUCGUGGGGGAUAACGCAGCGAAAGCUGUGCUAAUACCGCAUACGAUCUACGGAUGAAAGCAGGGGAUCGCAAGACCUUGCGCGAAUGGAGCGGCCGAUGGCAGAUUAGGUAGUUGGUGAGGUAAAGGCUCACCAAGCCUUCGAUCUGUAGCUGGUCUGAGAGGACGACCAGCCACACUGGGACUGAGACACGGCCCAGACUCCUACGGGAGGCAGCAGUGGGGAAUUUUGGACAAUGGGCGCAAGCCUGAUCCAGCCAUGCCGCGUGCAGGAUGAAGGCCUUCGGGUUGUAAACUGCUUUUGUACGGAACGAAACGGCCUUUUCUAAUAAAGAGGGCUAAUGACGGUACCGUAAGAAUAAGCACCGGCUAACUACGUGCCAGCAGCCGCGGUAAUACGUAGGGUGCAAGCGUUAAUCGGAAUUACUGGGCGUAAAGCGUGCGCAGGCGGUUAUGUAAGACAGUUGUGAAAUCCCCGGGCUCAACCUGGGAACUGCAUCUGUGACUGCAUAACUAGAGUACGGUAGAGGGGGAUGGAAUUCCGCGUGUAGCAGUGAAAUGCGUAAAUAUGCGGAGGAACACCGAUGGCGAAGGCANUCCCCUGGACCUGUACUGACGCUCAUGCACNAAAGCGUGGGGAGCAAACAGGAUAGAUA